AAGUAAGGAAGGAAUGAAAAGAAGGAAGGAACCAUGGGAAGGAAGGUAGCAAGGAAGGAAGGAAAAAAAGAAUGACAGACAGACUUGAACUGCAGCCAGGAGAGGAAGAAAUCCCCAUCCUUUCUGGAAGUCAGUGACAACCUGCCUUCCAGUGUCUGAUAAGAACCAUGCUGCCCCUGGCCCUGCACUUCCGGCCCCAUUGGCAUCUUUUCUUCUGGGCACUAAGCUAAGGAGGCAGGUGGCAAAGUCACCACCUCCUGACCAUGUGCAGGGAUCCUGCUGUCUAAGCAGUCUCUCACAGGCUGUCUAUCUCCUGAUCUUUAUUCCUGUUGCAGAGAACUGGCUGAGCUGAAUUGGCUUCUGGUGACCUGCUACUCUGAGGCAGGCACUGUCAUUUAGAGACAGUGUUCCUUGGCCAUCCUCCUAGGGUACAUACAUGGGAAGGAACAUGAGGAGCCAGGUUCAGCCAAGUGGGUAGAGCAUAGACAUGCUGCUGGCAAGAAUGAGGAGUCUUCUUGGAAGAGAGAAUGAAGAAUAUACGGAGAAGAGAGAGAGACAGAAGGAGGCUGGCCUUGAGUCUCAGAGGAAAACAACCAAAAAGGGUUUCUGGGGAAGACACAAGGCUGCUAUGGAGCCCUCAUCCCACCCAACCCUCCUCACCAAGAAAGGGAUGAGAAAGGAGAUGCAGAGGCUGAACAUGGAGCUGCAGCUGGUGACAAGGGAGAGAAAUGAGCUGCGUGAUCAACUAUUCUUCAUCAGGAAAGGACCCGUGCACAAUAGGCCAAAUACUUGGUAUGAAGAUCUGAAGAUGGAGCAUGAGGAGGUCAUGACUGACCUACAGAGAUUGCAGAAUGAGAACACCGAGGCUUCAGAGAAGUGGAUGAGCUUGCCAAUCUGACGGUCUUCUAUCGUGGUCUGCACAGCCAGGUCCUAAUGGAACACACUCAGCUUAAGGCCAGGGAGCCAUGCUGAGGCAGGAGAACAAGAAUCGGACAGAGGAUUGGGUUCUGCUGAAGCACCGCUUGGAGGCAUUGAAAUUGAUGUGUGAGGGCCAAGAGGAAGAGACCAGUGACCUCCAAAACCAGCAACAAGAGGUAGGGGCAGGUAGGUGGGUCAGGCUAAGGUCUGGCACCAUUUGCCCAUUGGAUUCUCUGUCUGCCCAUCCACCACCUGUGCUUUCACCCAUCACCUUACUCAUCCAUGCUCCCAUCCAGCCACCCACCUCGUGCCAUCUGAGAUAUUCACUUCAGUGUCCAUGCACAAGUACUUCUGGGAAGUUAGCCUCUUCUGAGAAACUAAAUUAUUGGCAAAACAUGCUUGCUGCUCUGCUUGAAACUGCGGUCCAAUGAGAGAAAUGGGUCAAAAACAUAUCAAACCUUCAUGUCAUUAUGAUAGGUAGGAUGCUAUGCACAGAGCUUUGAAUGAGUGAAUUGUGGGUCCUGAGGCUUGUGUGAUUGGCAGGG